rnacentral:rRNA from 1 species
AUUGAACGCUGGCGGCAGGCCUAACACAUGCAAGUCGAACGGUAGCACAGAGAGCUUGCUCUCGGGUGACGAGUGGCGGACGGGUGAGUAACGUCUGGGAAACUGCCCGAUGGAGGGGGAUAACUACUGGAAACGGUAGCUAAUACCGCAUAACGUCGCAAGACCAAAGUGGGGGACCUUCGGGCCUCACACCAUCGGAUGUGCCCAGAUGGGAUUAGCUAGUAGGUGGGGGAAUGGCUGACCUAGGCGACGAUCCCUAGCUGGGCUGAGAGGAUGACCAGCCAAACUGGAACUGAGACACGGUCCGGACUCCUACGGGGGGCAGCAGUGGGGAAUAUUGCACAAUGGGCGCAAGCCUGAUGCAGCCAUGCCGCGUGUAUGAAGAAGGCCUUCGGGUUGUAAAGUACUUUCAGCGGGGAGGAAGGCGGUGAAGUUAAUAGCUUCACCGAUUGACGUUGCCCGCAGAAGAAGCACCGGCUAACUCCGUGCCAGCAGCCGCCGCGG